rnacentral:rRNA from 1 species
AUUGAACGCUGGCGGCAUGCCUUACACAUGCAAGUCGAACGGCAGCGCGGGAGCAAUCCUGGCGGCGAGUGGCGAACGGGUGAGUAAUAUAUCGGAACGUGCCCAGUAGUGGGGGAUAGCCCGGCGAAAGCCGGAUUAAUACCGCAUACGACCUACGGGUGCAAGGGGGGGAUCGCAAGACCUCUCGCUAUUGGAGCGGCCGAUAUCAGAUUAGGUAGUUGGUGGGGUAAAGGCCUACCAAGCCUGCGAUCUGUAGUUGGUCUGAGAGGACGACCAGCCACACUGGGACUGAGACACGGCCCAGACUCCUACGGGAGGCAGGAGUGGGGAAUUUUGGACAAUGGGCGCAAGCCUGAUCCAGCAAUGCCGCGUGCAGGAAGAAGGCCUUCGGGUUGUAAACUGCUUUUGUCAGGGAAGAAAUCCUCUAGGCUAAUACCUUGGGGGGAUGACGGUACCUGAAGAAUAAGCACCGGCUAACUACGUGCCAGCAGCCGCCGUAAAAC